rnacentral:rRNA from 1 species
AUUGAACGCUGGCGGCAUGCUUUACACAUGCAAGUCGAACGGUAACAGGCCGCAAGGUGCUGACGAGUGGCGAACGGGUGAGUAAUGCAUCGGAACGUGCCCAGUCGGGGGGGAUAACGCAGCGAAAGCUGUGCUAAUACCGCAUACGAUCUAUGGAUGAAAGCGGGGGACCGUAAGGCCUCGCGCGAUUGGAGCGGCCGAUGUCAGAGUAGGUAGUUGCUGGGGGAAAGGGUCACCAAGCCAACGAUCUGUAGCUGGUCUUUGAGGACGACCAGCCACACUGGGACUUACACACGGCCCAGACUCCUACGGGAGGCAGCAGUGGGGAAUUUUGGACAAUGGGCGCAAGCCUGAUCCAGCAAUGCCGCGUGCAGGAAGAAGGCCUUCGGGUUGUAAACUGCUUUUGUACGGAACGAAAAGGUCUGGGUUAAUACCCUGGGCUGAUGACGGUACCGUAAGAAUAAGCACCGGCUAACUACGUGCCAGCCGCCGCAGUAACAC